UACGGGGGGGGGUAAGCGUUGUUCGGAAUUACUGGGCGUAAAGGGCUCGUAGGCGGCCAACUAAGUCGGACGUGAAAUCCCUCAGCUUAACUGGGGAACUGCGUCUGAUACUGGGAGGCUCGAGUAUGGGAGAGGGAUGUAGAAUUCCAGGUGUAGCGGUGAAAUGCGUAGAUAUCUGGAGGAAUACCGGUGGCGAAGGCGGCAUCCUGGACCGGCAUUGACGCUGAGGAGCGAAAGCUAGGGGAGCAAACGGGG
rnacentral:rRNA from 1 species